AUUGAACGCUGGCGGCAGGCCUAACACAUGCAAGUCGAACGGUAACACAAAGCGGCUUUCUGCUUCCCUGACGCGUGUCGCAGGCGUGUGUGGUGUCUAGCAGACUCUCUUUUUUCGUGGGGUAUAACGUAGAAAAGGUAGCGAUUAUCGCGUAUAGUCGCUACGCCAAAGAGGAGGACAUUCUGGCCUCUUGCGCUCUGAUGUGCCCCGAUGUCGGAUUAGCUUGUUGGGGGGGUAAAGGCCCACCAAGGCGACGAUCCGUAGCUGGUCUGAGAGGAUGACCAGCCACACUGGAACUGAGACACGGUCCAGACUCCUACGGGAGGCAGCAGUGGGGAAUAUUGGACAAUGGGCGCAAGCCUGAUGCAGCCAUGCCGCGUGGAUGAAGAAGGCCUUCGGGUUGUAAAGCACUUUUGGUGGGAAAGAAGAGAAGAAGGUUAAUACCUCGCUGUACUGACGGUACCCGAAGAAGAAGCACCGGCUAACUUCGUG
rnacentral:rRNA from 1 species